CAUCCUGGGGCUGUAGUCGGUCCCAAGGGUUGGGCUGUUCGCCCAUUAAAGCGGUACGCGAGCUGGGUUCAGAACGUCGUGAGACAGUUCGGUCCCUAUCCGUCGUGGGCGUAGGAAAUUUGAGAGGAGCUGUCCUUAGUACGAGAGGACCGGGAUGGACAUACCUCUGGUGUACCAGUUGUCGUGCCAACGGCAUAGCUGGGUAGCUAUGUAUGGACGGGAUAAGUGCUGAAAGCAUCUAAGCAUGAAGCCCCCCUCAAGAUGAGAUUUCCCAACUUCGGUUAUAAGAUCCCUCGAAGAUGACGAGGUUAAUAGGUUCGAGGUGGAAGCGUGGUGACACGUGGAGCUGACGAAUACUAAUCGAUCGAAGACUUAAUCAAUAUU
rnacentral:rRNA from 2 species